AGUUAUAGAAACAGAUGAUCAGUGGCCCACGGAUUCCAGGUGAGGAUCUGGGACCCAGACAUCCAGAUAUUGAAAACACAGGGAUGGAGUCUGUAUGGAAAAAAUUAAAAUAUAGCAAAAUGUGAAAUACGGAAGAGAAAUCUUUCAAUUUCCCAAUGGAAGUGAGAAAAGAGCAAAGAAAAGUAUUGGUCUUCCAAAACAAAUAGAGGACGGAGCUGCUGCUGUUGCAUGGUGUCUAGAAACUCAGACAACUUCAUCAUUCCAUAUUUGCAUCCAAGAGAGAGAAAGAAAAACUACAAUCAUUUUCCAUUUACCCAUCAACCCAUCAACCUCCAAAUAAAGGCUAUUAAAAAACAAUCAAAGUGUGAAGAGGGCAGAAAAUGUGAUGAAGAGAUUCUUUGGAGAAAGUAGCUGCCACUGUUACCUUGGGAUCUGCCUAUAGUCCUCACAGAGCUUGGU
rnacentral:lncRNA from 10 species